AUGGCGACCUUGCUGUCGAUCCACGAGAAGGCCACCGCCGUCGUCGACCUUUACGUGCCCAUCCGUCACUCCGCCCACGCGGAGCGCGACGCGGCCACCGCCGACGACGACCUCCGCGCCGUGCGCGACCUCCGCGCCGCAGCGGUCGAGAGCCCCUCCCUCCAGGGCCCGCUCUCCCUCGACCAGCGCCGCGACGCGCUCCUGGCGUACGCCCGCGCGCUCGCCGUCGUGGCAUCUCGCUUCCUCAUCUCCCCCGACCGCGAGCACGUCCGGACCUUCUCCUUCACCUGGCACGACGCCUUCAACAUGAACCAGAAGGUGUGCCUGCCCUCUGUUCAUCUCGAGAGGGCCGCCGUGCUCUUCAACCUCGGCGCCGUCUACUCGCAGAUCGCGCUCGCUGCAGAUCUCAACACCGACAUCGGGAUCAAGAGCGCGUGCGGCGCGUUCGAGAGCGCCGCGGGAGCGUUCGCGGAGAGUGGGCUCGCUGCUAAGGCCGUCGCCGCCGGGGCCAUCACCGUCGAUGUGACGCCCGAGUGCACGGGCAUGUUGGAGAAGCUCAUGCUGGGGCAGGCGCAAGAGUGCUUGCUGGAGAAGUUCAUAGCUGGGGGGAAACCGCCCGAGCUAUGCUCCAAGGUGGCCCGCCAGUUGGGCAUAUUCUAUGAAGAAGCUUACCGAGCUCUAUGUGCACCUCCUCUUAGUCAGCACUUUGACAAGACAUGGAUUUCUCAUAUCCAGAUGAAGGCUGCUCAAUUCCAUGCAGAUGCAUGCUAUAGGUGUUCACUGGAUCUGCAUCAGGCAGAGGAAAUUUCUGAAGAAAUUGUGCGCCUACAGAUUGGAAUGAACGCCUUGGCUGAUGCCAAGAAAACAGCUAAGGGAGUUGCUGCCCCACUUUUGCAUUCUGUGUAUAAGCUGGAGAGUAACAUGAAAACCAACUUGGAGAGGGCCAUGAAGGAGAACAAUAGUAUGUAUCUGUUGCAGAUUCCAGAUGUGGGUUCUUUGGGAGCUCUCCCUGCAGCUUGUCUUGUCAAAUCCACUUCUCUGGCUGUAGCUCUAGGUGCUAGCGAACAGAGGCCGUUUUCACCACUUGUGCCUGAAGGCAGCAUGUGCGAUGCAGAGAAGCUCCAGCAGUCUAGUGAGAUCUCUGGAGUUAGGCUAAAGGAAAUGGAUCCAUCUGGUGUUCUUCCAUCACUGGAAGGCAAUGUCAGCUUAUCUGUAGAUCUGAAAGCAGGUGGUGAGGAGAACUAG
rnacentral:rRNA from 1 species